CAGUCGCCGCGGUAAUACGUAGGUGGCAAGCGUUGUCCGGAAUUAUUGGGCGUAAAGCGCGCGCAGGUGGUUCCUUAAGUCUGAUGUGAAAGCCCCCGGCUCAACCGGGGAGGGUCAUUGGAAACUGGGGAACUUGAGUGCAGAAGAGGAUAGUGGAAUUCCAAGUGUAGCGGUGAAAUGCGUAGAGAUUUGGAGGAACACCAGUGGCGAAGGCGACUGUCUGGUCUGUAACUGACACUGAGGCGCGAAAGCGUGGGGAGCAAACAGGAUUAGAUACCCCUGUAGUCCCUGUCUCUUAUAA
rnacentral:rRNA from 1 species